GAUGAAGAACGCAGUGAAAUGCGAUAAGUAAUGUGAAUUGCAGAAUUCAGUGAAUCAUCGAAUCUUUGAACGCACAUUGCGCCCAUUAGUAUUCUAGUGGGCAUGCCUGUUCGAGCGUCAUUUCAACCCUUAAGCCUAGCUUAGUAUUGGGAAUCGACUUUACUGUCGUUCCUCAAAUUCAACGGCGGAUUUAUAGCAAUCUCUGAACGUAGUAAUUUUUUUCCUCGUUUUUGAAAUACUAUAAACCUCAGCCGCUAAACCCCCAAUUUUUCUAUGGUUGACCUCGGAUCAGGUAGGAAUACCCGCUGAACUUAAGCAUAUCAAUAAGCGGAGGA
rnacentral:misc_RNA from 1 species